rnacentral:rRNA from 1 species
GAUGAACGCUGGCGGCGUGCCUAAUACAUGCAAGUCGAGCGAAUGGAUUAAGAGCUUGCUCUUAUGAAGUUAGCGGCGGACGGGUGAGUAACACGUGGGUAACCUGCCCAUAAGAAUGGGAUAACUCCGGGAGACCGGGGCUAAUACCGGAUAACAUUUUGAACCGCAUGGUUCGAAAUUGAAAGGCGGCUUCGGCUGUCACUUAUGGAUGGACCCGCGUCGCAUUAGCUAGUUGGUGAGGUAACGGCUCACCAAGGCAACGAUGCGUAGCUGACCUGAGAGGGUGAUCGGCCACACUGGGACUGAGACACGGCCCAGACUCCUACGGGAGGCAGCAGUAGGGAAUCUUCCGCAAUGGACGAAAGUCUGACGGAGCAACGCCGCGUGAGUGAUGAAGGCUUUCGGGUCGUAAAACUCUGUUGUUGGGGAAGAACAAGUGCUAGUUGAAUAAGCUGGCACCUUGACGGUACCUAACCAGAAAGCCACGGCUAACUACGUGCCAGCCGCCGCGGUAA